UACGGAGGGUGCAAGCGUUAAUCGGAAUUACUGGGCGUAAAGCGUGCGCAGGCGGUUUGUUAAGUCCGUUGUGAAAGCCCCGAGCUCAACUCGGGAAUUGCAGUGGAUACUGGCAGGCUGGAGUACGGUAGAGGAAGGUGGAAUUCCCGGUGUGGCAGUGAAAUGCGUAGAUAUCGGGAGGAACACCAGUGGCGAAGGCGGCCUUCUGGACCAGUACUGACGCUCAUGCACGAAAGCGUGGGGAGCAAACAGG
rnacentral:rRNA from 1 species